CUUAUGUGUUAUUUGACGUCUUUUAUAACAUCUAUACAUCCAUAUAAAGGAGGUUCUUCAUAGGAUGAAGUGGCAUGUCUCAGAUCUCUCCAAUCAAAAUUUCUAAUUUUUCAGAUUUUUCAUUUUAUUAAUUACAGUACUUCCUCCGUCCUACAAUACAAGUUUCUUUUUGAAAAAUUACGAAUUUAAGAAAACAUUAAUUAGAUAAAAUUUUCUCACUUGUACCCCUAAUAAAUGCAUGAAUGUAGACUCUUAUUCAACCCUCAUUAAUUGUUAUACAACUUUCAAAAAGAGUAAUUUUGGAGUAAUGUCAAUAUAUUUGCAUUGAAAUUAAAAGUGGACAAAUAUUAUGGGACAAAAAUUUCUUCCAAAAAAGACUUGUAUUGUGGGACGAAGGGAGUAUCUUUUUUUAUAAAUAAAAAACAGAAUAAUGAAAGGCUAUAUACGCGUCUUUUUAGUUUUUACCGUCCCUUUCUUGUCAGUUUUGUGUGGCUCUUCGCUCCCGAUGCAAUGGCAGUUGAAACUUUAAAAUGAGACCUAAUAAUAAUGGGUCUAUUGUUGCUUUCCCGCGCGAAAUCAGUGGCACUUUUUCUAAUAGUGCAAAUGAAAGAGGAAGCUCAAGAUAACCUACCAUCAGAGGAUCUUAAGAGAGAGGCCCGACGUCCGGAUUUUGUCUUGGACAGAGGUCCUGUUAAUCAUUCUACACGAUGCGUUACUAUUCUCACACACAUAAUUAUCUUUUAAAGAUUUUGUCCCAGAGAUCAUUCUCUUUAGAAUUAUAAUCUGCAAAAAUAUUAAACUACUCAUUGUGUUACAUUCAAAAUUACUACAUUUUUAAAGCCCAGAAGGUGUUCGAUGAAAUGCCUCAACGAAGUAUAAUGACCUGGAACGCAAUGAUUGAUUGGUGGUAUUUUCAAAAUGGCUAUUUUGAUCAGGCUGUAGCCUGUGUGGUUGUAUAAUCAAAUGCCCCAAGAUACCUGGGAUAAGAUAAUCUAGAAAAUUACUUGGUUUGUGAUUGACAUUUUUUAUAUGAUGGAUAACUUGCAGGACAGAGGACCAAAGGUCAUGAAAAUCGUGAGGAAAUUGCAAUCACGAAAGAGACCAGUCUCACCAGAAUCAUGGUUCGAAAUGAGGGAAAUUGUUGAAGACAUUGUAUUCUGUGAUGGAUAGUUUUACGCCAUUGCUACUUGUGGAGCACUCUUUGUUUACCAUUCCAUGCACAUACUGGACAUGAAUGAAAGAUGGGAGGUCAGAUGUGUGGUAUCAAUUCACAUUCAGUGAUAGAUGUUCACUGGUUCUUGUAUCUGGUGGAAUCAAAGACCGGAGAUUUGUUGUCAAUGAAGAGGAUAUUCAAACAAAAUAGCCGCACCACCAAAUUUCUUUACGUUUUCAAGUUAAAGUACUGGAGUGACAACAUUUGUGACAGUACUUAUAUUAGGAUGAGAUACAAUAAAAUAUAAAUAUAAACAAAGAUGUAAUAAAAUUUAUAUCACUAGAAAGUAUAUUUUGCCUACUUUAAUAUAUAUUUUUCAGAUUUUAUAAA